GACGAACGCUGGCGGCGUGCUUAACACAUGCAAGUCGAACGGAAAGGCCCUGCUUUUGUGGGGUGCUCGAGUGGCGAACGGGUGAGUAACACGUGAGUAACCUGCCCUUGACUUUGGGAUAACUUCAGGAAACUGGGGCUAAUACCGGAUAGGAGCUCCUGCUGCAUGGUGGGGGUUGGAAAGUUUCGGCGGUUUGGGAUGGACUCGCGGCUUAUCAGCUUGUUGGUGGAGUAGUGGCUUACCAAGGGUUUGACGGGUAGCCGGCCUGAGAGGGUGGCCGGCGACAUUAGGACUGAGAUACGGCCCAGACUCCUACGGGAGGCAGCAGUGGGAAGUCUUACACAAUGGGCGGGAGCCUGAUGCGGCAGCGCCGCGUUCGGGAUGCCGGCCUUCGGGUUAUAAACCGCUUUCGCAUGUGACGAAGCGUGAGUGACGGUAAUGGGUAAGGAAGCACCGGCUAACUACGUG
rnacentral:rRNA from 1 species